rnacentral:rRNA from 1 species
UGAAAUCUGGCUCUCGGGCCCGAGUUGUAAUUUGUAGAGGAUGUUUUUGAUGCGGUGCCUUCCGAGUUCCCUGGAACGGGACGCCAUAGAGGGUGAGAGCCCCGUCUGGUUGGAUGCCAAAUCUCUGUAAAACUCCUUCAACGAGUCGAGUAGUUUGGGAAUGCUGCUCUAAAUGGGAGGUAUAUGUCUUCUAAAGCUAAAUACCGGCCAGAGACCGAUAGCGCACAAGUAGAGUGAUCGAAAGAUGAAAAGCACUUUGAAAAGAGAGUUAAAAAGUACGUGAAAUUGUUGAAAGGGAAGCGUUUAUGACCAGACUUGGACUUGGUUAAUCAUCUGGGGUUCUCCCCAGUGCACUUUUCCAGUUCAGGCCAGCAUCAGUUUUCCCCGGGGGAUAAAGGCUUUGGGAAUGUGGCUCCCUUCGGGGAGUGUU